rnacentral:rRNA from 1 species
CCUACGGGUGGCAGCAGUGAGGAAUAUUGGUCAAUGGGCGAGAGCCUGAACCAGCCAAGUCGCGUGAGGGAGUACUGCCCUAUGGGUUGUAAACCUCUUUUGUCGGGGAGCAAAAGCCGGACGUGUCCGGCUGUGAGAGUACCCGAAGAAAAAGCAUCGGCUAACUCCGUGCCAGCAGCCGCGGUAAUACGGAGGAUGCGAGCGUUAUCCGGAUUUAUUGGGUUUAAAGGGUGAGCAGGCGGAUUUUUAAGUCAGCGGUAAAAUCGUGGGGCUCAACCCCAUCCAGCCGUUGAAACUGGGGAUCUAGAGUGUGCGAGAGGGAUGCGGAAUGCGUGGUGUAGCGGUGAAAUGCAGAGAUAUCACGCAGAACCCCGAUUGCGAAGGCAGCAUACCGGUGCACAACUGACGCUCAGGCACGAAAGCGUGGGUAUCGAACAGGAUUAGAUACCCCUGUAGUC